rnacentral:rRNA from 1 species
GGCUUCCUACGGGAGGCAGCAGUGGGGAAUAUUGCACAAUGGGCGGAAGCCUGAUGCAGCGACGCCGCGUGAGGGAUGAAGGCCUUCGGGUUGUAAACCUCUUUCAGCAGGGACGAAGCGUAAGUGACGGUACCUGCAGAAGAAGCGCCGGCCAACUACGUGCCAGCAGCCGCGGUAAGACGUAGGGCGCGAGCGUUGUCGGGAUUUAUUGGGCGUAAAGAGCUCGUAGGCGGCUUGUUGCGUCGACCAUGAAAACCCGGGGCUCAACUUCGGGCUUGCGGUCGAUACGGGCGGGCUAGAGUUCGGUAGGGGAGACUGGAAUUCCUGGUGUAGCGGUGAAAUGCGCAGAUAUCAGGAGGAACACCGGUGGCGAAGGCGGGUCUCUGGGCCGAUACUGACGCUGAGGAGCGAAAGCGUGGGGAGCGAACAGGAUUAGAUACCCUGGUAGUCCACGCUGUAAACGUUGGGCGCUAGGUGUGGGGGGCCUCUCCGGUUCCCUGUGCCGCAGCUAACGCAUUAAGCGCCCCGCCUGGGGAGUACGGCCGCAAGGCU